rnacentral:rRNA from 1 species
UGGGGAAUCUUCCGCAAUGGACGAAAGUCUGACGGAGCAACGCCGCGUGAGUGAAGACGGCCUUCGGGUUGUAAAGCUCUGUGAUCCGGGACGAAAGAGCCUGAGGUAAAUAGCCUAAGGAAGUGACGGUACCGGAAAAGCAAGCCACGGCUAACUACGUGCCAGCAGCCGCGGUAAUACGUAGGUGGCAAGCGUUGUCCGGAAUUAUUGGGCGUAAAGCGCGCGCAGGCGGCUUACUAAGUCCAUCUUAAAAGUGCGGGGCUUAACCCCGUGAUGGGAUGGAAACUGGAAAGCUGGAGUAUCGGAGAGGAAAGGGGAAUUCCUAGUGUAGCGGUAAAAUGCGUAGAGAUUAGGAAGAACACCGGUGGCGAAGGCGACUUUCUGGACGAAAACUGACGCUGAGGCGCGAAAGCGUGGGGAGCAAACAGG